rnacentral:misc_RNA from 1 species
GCAGCGUCGGCGAGCUGAACAACGACGGCACGUUGAGCGAUCGUCCGAUCGGCGUGGCGCGCAAUUCGCUGACCCUGCCGUCGCGCAAGAACCUCGACUUCCGCUACUCGCGCAGGUUCCGCAUCCAGGGCAACAUGGCGGCGGAAGUGAUCGGCGAGGUGAAGAACAUCUUCAACACCGUGCAGGUCUCGGGCGUCACCGCGACGGUGGCGACCAACGCGCAGGGCCAUCCGCUGGCGCCGCUGCCGACGUCCGAUCAGCUGGUGCCGACCGGCGGCUACGAGCAGCGCCAGUUCCAGUUGGGCUUCAAGUUUGUUUUCUGAUACAGACGAGGACACGGAGAAGUACGGAGGGCACGGAGGCACGCUCCGUGCCCUCGUUUUUUAGGGGCAGCAAUGCGCAAGAUCUGUUUCGCCGUUAUCGUCAUCGCCUCCGUGUGCUCGGCACAUUCGAGCGCUCAGCACCAGCUCAUUCCGGUUUCCCAGAUGAAGGGGCAACCAGCGCUCGAAUUAGCGCUGCGCAAGCUCGACACCGUCGGCAACUUCAUGAUGACGACGGCGCAUCCGGAUGACGAGAACAACGCGAUGCUCGCCUACUUCGCGCAUGGCAAAGGCUUUCGCACCUCACUGGUGACGGCGACGCACGGCGAGGGCGGGCAGAACGAGAUCGGCCCCGAAUUGUUCGUGCCGCUCGCGGUGCUGCGCACGGAGGAGUUGCUGGCGGCGCACCGCUUCGACGGCGCCGAGCAGUUCUUCACGCGCGCGAUCGACUUCGGGUUUUCGUUCAGCAUCGAAGAAACCUACGAAAAGUGGGGCCACGAGGAGAUCGUCGGGGACUACGUGCGCAUGAUCCGCACGAUUCGUCCCGACGUCAUCGUCGGCUUCGUGUUCGACGGCGACGGCGGCGGCCAGCAUCACCAGGCGUCAUCGCGGCUCACGCUCGAAGCGUUCCGCGCCGCGGCCGAUCCGG